GUGCUCGCUUGGGCAUCGCAUAUACUAAAAUUGAAAUGAUACAGAGAGUAUUAGCAUGGCUUCACCACUAGGAUGACACAAAUUCAUGAAACAUUCCUCAUUUUU
rnacentral:snRNA from 1 species